rfam:Perkinsus marinus ATCC 50983 gcontig_1104296288462, whole genome shotgun sequence.
GCCUCGGUAGCUCAGUCGGCAGAGCGCGUGCCUUUUAAGCCCGUGGCCGCGGGUUCGAGCCCCGUCCGAGGUG